rnacentral:tmRNA from 1 species
GGGGAUGACCGGUUUCGACGGGGCAGGCUGUUCAUAGACUGCAGGCCGUAGAGCGUCGACUACGUUAAAAAGGCGCAACACCUACAAAUGCCAACAACAGUGGCAAAGUCUUCAACUUCGGGUUCGCCAACGCUGCUCCUGCGGCGGUGGCUGCCUAAGUGAAGGCACCAGACCCUCUCAUACAGGGUCUCGGCCCGUACCGGUGCUGCUCUCAGGCCGGACGGUAGCCGCCAUAGACUGUUGAGCUGCGGUCACUGGACGCCGAUAAGGUGACCUAAGACCCAUCGGCUAGCCGGGCAAAGGAAUCCUGUCGCACGGAGUCCGCCCGGCGAAACAGCAAAAGUGCGACUAAGCCUGUAGAUGUCUAUGGACGAAUGUCUCGGACGCGGGUUCGACUCCCGCCAUCUCCACCU